rnacentral:rRNA from 1 species
AUAGGAUCUACCUAGUAGUACGGAAUAAUUGUUGGAAACGACAACUAAUACCGUAUACGCCCUACGGGGGAAAAUUUAUUGCUAUUAGAUGAGCCUAUAUUAGAUAGCUAGUUGGUGGGGUAAUAGCCUACCAAGGUAAUGAUCUAUAGCUGAUCUGAGAGGAUGAUCAGCCACACUGGAACUGAGAUACGGUCCAGACUCCUACGGGAGGCAGCAGUGGGGAAUAUUGGACAAUGGGCGAAAGCCUGAUCCAGCCAUGCCGCAUGAGUGAAGAAGGCCUUUGGGUUGUAAAGCUCUUUUAGUGAGGAAGAUAAUGACGGUACUCACAGAAGAAGUCCUGGCUAACUCCGUGCCAGCAGCCGCGGUAAUACGGAGAGGGCUAGCGUUAUUCGGAAUUAUUGGGCGUAAAGGGCGCGUAGGCUGGUUAAUAAGUUAAAAGUGAAAUCCCGAGGCUUAACCUUGGAAUUGCUUUUAAAACUAUUAAUCUAGAGAUUGAAAGAGGAUAGAGGAAUUCCUGAUGUAGAGGUAAAAUUCGUAAAUAUUAGGAGGAACACCAGUGGCGAAGGCGUCUAUCUGGUUCAAAUCUGACGCUGAAGCGCGAAGGCGUGGGGAGCAAACAGGAUUAGAUACCCUGGUAGUCCACGCUGUAAACGAUGAAUGUUAAAUAUGGGGAGUUUACUUUCUGUAUUACAGCUAACGCGUUAAACAUUCCGCCUGGGGACUACGGUCGCAAGAUUAAAACUCAAAGGAAUUGACGGGGACCCGCACAAGCGGUGGAGCAUGUGGUUAAUUCGAUGCAACGCGA